rnacentral:misc_RNA from 1 species
GGAUAUUACCCUUUGCCCCUGUAACGGGAUUUUUGAACUGCUACGCACAGAACUGUGACAUUUUGGAUGAUCCUUAGGCUCGUCCUCCUGAGAAGAAAAAUCUUCAAUAUCAUCGUCCACAUUACACCAUGUCUCACCUAGCUUCAACUUUUGAGCCACCGGUUCGGAUUUUGAAAUAGACCCACGACGGAGGCGUUUGAGAGAACUUGUAGGAUCCGAAACUUGCGGAUCCGUAACCAAUUUUGGAAAUUCAAAAUCA